UGUCCUAUCUCUUUUUUUAUUUUUUAAAUGUAUCUUUCUUAUGGGAUAGAGUAACAUUGCCAUGAUCUGAAGGAGGAGGAUUUGUUUGUGUCCUCCUUCUAUAUGAAAUGGCUAAACAGAAAAAA
rnacentral:snoRNA from 1 species